rnacentral:rRNA from 1 species
UGGGGAAUAUUGCACAAUGGGCGAAAGCCUGAUGCAGCAACGCCGCGUGAGUGAUGAAGGUCUUCGGAUUGUAAAGCUCUGUCUUUUGGGACGAUAAUGACGGUACCAAAGGAGGAAGCCACGGCUAACUACGUGCCAGCAGCCGCGGUAAUACGUAGGUGGCGAGCGUUGUCCGGAUUUACUGGGCGUAAAGGGUGCGUAGGCGGAUGUUUAAGUGAGAUGUGAAAUACCCGGGCUUAACUUGGGUGCUGCAUUUCAAACUGGAUAUCUAGAGUGCAGGAGAGGAGAAUGGAAUUCCUAGUGUAGCGGUGAAAUGCGUAGAGAUUAGGAAGAACACCAGUGGCGAAGGCGAUUCUCUGGACUGUAACUGACGCUGAGGCACGAAAGCGUGGGUAGCAAACAGGAUUAGAUACCCUGGUAGUCCACGCCGUAAACGAUGAGUACUAGGUGUAGGAGGUAUCGACCCCUUCUGUGCCGCAGUAAACACAUUAAGUACUCCGCCUGGGAAGUACGAUCGCAAGAUUAAAACUCUAAAGUGAAUUGACGG